CUAAAAACUCCUCGGAGCAAUAGCAGAAACAAAUCAUAUGCCUACUAGAUAGCUACUCCGCUGCUCUCCUCUCCUCCUCCACUACUCUGCGCUCCUCCUCCCUCACUCCUUGCUCUCUCCUCUCCCCUCGCCCAGAUCAGGAAGUUGGAAAGAUUCUGAUGGACAUGGACAAUAGGACCCUGUGGGAAUGAUUACCGCAUGGCCCAACCUCUCACGACCGCGUGGUCGAGUCCUCCUUCCUGCCUGGCCUGAGGAAGCCAGUAUGUAUACAGAACCUGGUCUUAGGAUGUCAUGAUGAUCAACUCAAACUGAUCCAAUAUUAUCAUAUUAUAUGUCAUACAGGUUCUGCUGUUAUGAUAAGGAAGUGGAUCUGGUUGUCCUAAAUUAUGCUGUAGCCCUUAAUUUGAAGACAUGUCUCUUCAGUUUGCUCCACUUUUCAUACACCAUGGUUUGAAAAGAGAGGUAGACGCAUCUUGGUCUUUCAAGCAGCAUGUAUCUAUACUUGACCGGCUGUGUGUCAGGACCGGCUGUUGUCAGGACCGGCUGUGUCCGGACCGGCUGUACAGACCGGCUGUGUCAGGGACCGGCUGUGUCGGACUGGCUUGUGUCCGGACCGGCUGUGUCAGGACCGGCUGUGUCAGGACCGGCUGUACAGGACCGGCUGUGUCAGGACCGGCUGUACAGGACCGGCUGUACAGGACCGGCGGUGUCAGGACCGGCUGUGUCAGGACCGGCUGUGUCAGGACCGGCUGUGUCAGGACCGGCUGUGUGUGCUAAGUAAAGGAAUGGAUAUAUUCCACCCUUAGGCAGAAGCGUUGAGAACUAGAGAGCUCUGUGCAUUAAAUCCAGUGGUUGUAGAUACGGUGCAUUCAGAAAGUAUUCAGACCCCUUGACUUUUUCCACAUUUUGUUACGUAACAGACUUAUUACUAAAAAUGGAUUAAAUUGUCCCCCCCCCCCAUCAAUCUACACACAAAAAACCCAUAAUGACAAAGGAAAAACAGGAUUUUAGAAAUAUAAAAACUGAAAUGUCACAUUUACAUAAUUAUUCAGACCCUUUACUCAGUACUUUGUUGAAGCACCUUUGGCAGUGAUUACAGCAGAAACUUCUUGGGUAUGACGCUAUAAACUUGGCACACCUGUAUUUGGGGAGUUUCUCCCAUUCUUCUCUGCAGAUCCUCUUAAGCUCUGUCAGGUUGGAUGGGGAGCAUUGCUGCACAGCU
rnacentral:lncRNA from 1 species